UCCUUCCCGGCGGGCCGCGCGGGGCGGGUCUCUCUGUCCGCCAUCUUGGGGCGCUCGGGGCCUGCCGGGACCGGCUCUGCGCGAGGACGCCAUGACCGGGAGGCUGUGGUGCAAGGCCAUUUUUGCUGGCUACAAACGUGGCCUCCGAAACCAGCGGGAACACACGGCCCUUCUGAAGAUUGAAGGUGUUUAUGCCCGCCAGGAGACAGACUUCUACCUGGGCAAGAGGUGUGCCUAUGUGUACAAAGCUAAAAACAACACCGUAACCCCCGGGGGGAAACCCAACAGGACACGGGUGAUCUGGGGGAAGGUGACCCGGGCCCAUGGGAACAGUGGCAUGGUCCGUGCCAAGUUCCGCUCCAACCUUCCUGCCAAGGCCAUUGGACACAGAAUCCGGGUGCACAGCAAACUGACGUGUGGGAGGAAGCUAUGGCAUCAAAGGAGCCUGCCUCCUUCGUGGACCGGACCACCUGGGAGCUCCUCAACCUGCUGGACAUGCUGGGAAAGCGGAAUGGACGGGUGGGAGUAAUGGAGGUGGACGAUGCCGAAUCAAGAGCCCCCUCGUUGCUGGUGGACUUUACCCGGGACCUGUGUGGCACAGGUGACAUCAAACAUAAGCCACAGCAGGCAGGGAGUGAGGGAAAGGAAGAGGAGGAUGUGAUUCCACCACAUCUGAUUUUUAUGCUGUGGCAAGCCAGUGUGUUGAAGAGGCUCAUGCAGUGGGAUCAUUUGGAUGAGGCCAUCCGGGAUGUGAGGAACCUCCUCCCUUGCCUGCCGGAUGUGCUGGUGCUUGUGAUGAUCCGUCCAGACUGCCAGGAGCAGCUGGACCAGGCAGUGAGAGCACUGAGGAGAAUGCAGUGUGUGCUGGAUGGGGCCCUGCAACUGCCCGUGGAGACGGCGAUCUACAGCCCAAGCCAGCCUGGAAGUGUCCUGGAGGCAAAGAGAGCUGCCUGUAGAGCUCUGAGAGAAGCCUUGAACUGCCAUGAAGAAGUCGACUCCCAGGAGCCAUUUAUUAUUUCGCUCCCGGAGCUCAGAUAUUGCCGUGUUCUGCCUGAACGUAGGCAAGACAAGGUAUCAAAGAUGGAUGGAGAAUGAAUUCCCUUGGGCAGCAGAACCUGUCAGAUCUUUUAUUGCCCUAAGGUCUUCAUUAUCAUCAAAAGAAGGAUUAAAAGCCUGAUAUUUAUCUCA